AUGAACGCUGGCGGCGUGCCUAACACAUGCAAGUCGAACGAUACCCUGUCUUCGGAUUGGGUAUAGUGGCGAACGGGUGAGUAACACGUUGGUGACCUGCCCCGAAGACGGGAAUAACCCUUCGAAAGGAGGGCUAAUACCCGAUGUGCUUGUGCUGUUUAGAAGAGUGCAAGUAAAGCUCCGGCGCUUCGGGAGGGGCCAGCGGCCUAUCAGCUAGUUGGUGAGGUAAUGGCUCACCAAGGCGAAGACGGGUAGGGGGCGUGAGAGCGUGACCCCCCACAAUGGAACUGAGACACGGUCCAUACUCCUCCGGGAGGCAGCAGUGAGGAAUAUUGCACAAUGGGGGAAACCCUGAUGCAGCAACGCCGCGUGGGUGAAGAAGGCUUUCGGGUCGUAAAACCCUUUUCCAGGGGAAGAGCAAGGACGGUACCCUGGGAAUAAGUCCCGGCUAACUACGU
rnacentral:rRNA from 1 species